rnacentral:lncRNA from 7 species
CACACAUGAUGACACGACGAUUGAUCAAAGCAGACAUUUGAGUUCCUGACUAAGCUACGACAUGCAUGAAGGCUGUUAUGGCUAAAAAACAAGUCAAUUGAAAAGCAUCCCCAUAACUAAAUAAUUUAGGUUACGAGAGUUCUCGAACUAUAGGAUCAGGUAUUGGACCGAGUUCAUGGACGCAAUGCGCUACUACAAGGGAAGGGAAUUCACGAUGGACCUACUAUGGUUAGGAAUCCCAGUUUCUCCACCCUGAAAAAACGAAAACG